GAGACCGGCGCACGGGUGCGUAACGCGUAUGCAAUCUACCUUUUACAGAGGGAUAGCCCAGAGAAAUUUGGAUUAAUACCUCAUAGUAUGUGAGAAUCGCAUGGUUUUCACAUUAAAGUCACAACGGUAAAAGAUGAGCAUGCGUCCCAUUAGCUUGUUGGUAAGGUAACGGCUUACCAAGGCAACGAUGGGUAGGGGUCCUGAGAGGGAGAUCCCCCACACUGGUACUGAGACACGGACCAGACUCCUACGGGAGGCAGCAGUGAGGAAUAUUGGACAAUGGGCGCAAGCCUGAUCCAGCCAUGCCGCGUGCAGGAUGACGGUCCUAUGGAUUGUAAACUGCUUUUGUACAGGAAGAAACACUCCCUCGUGAGGGAGCUUGACGGUACUGUAAGAAUAAGGAUCGGCUAACUCCGUGCCAGCAGCCGCGGUAAUACGGAGGAUCCAAGCGUUAUCCGGAAUCAUUGGGUUUAAAGGGUCCGUAGGCGGUUUAAUAAGUCAGUGGUGAAAGCCCAUCGCUCAACGGUGGAACGGCCAUUGAUACUGUUAAACUUGAAUUAUUAGGAAGUAACUAGAAUAUGUAGUGUAGCGGUGAAAUGCUUAGAGAUUACAUGGAAUACCAAUUGCGAAGGCAGGUUACUACUAAUGGAUUGACGCUGAUGGACGAAAGCGUGGGUAGCGAACAGGAUUAGAUACCCUGGUAGUCCACGCCGUAAACGAUGGAUACUAGCUGUUGGGAGCAAUCUCAGUGGCUAAGCGAAAGUGAUAAGUAUCCCACCUGGGGAGUACGU
rnacentral:rRNA from 1 species